CUCACCUCUUACCAUUCCGAACAGAGAAGUUAAGCCCAUUAGCGCCGAUGGUACUACAUUGUGGAAGAGUAGGUCGUCGCCUUUU
rnacentral:rRNA from 1 species